rnacentral:sRNA from 1 species
GAGGGGAGAUUUGGCUCUUUUAGCUCUCUAAAUAGGUAUAUCCUUUUCCCCACCCUUCAUUUGUAUCUUUUAUGACAUUUUGCUUUCAGUUGAAGAGGAUGACCUUCCUUUCCCCAAAGAAGAAGGAUCAUUCUUUGAUCAAGGAUUUGUGAAGAACCCUGAUUUCUCGCUAGACCUCCCAAACAAUUG